UUGUCAUUGCUGAUGCCUUUUGAUGUUAGUUUCAUUGAUACAUGAAACAAUUACUAGUACUGUUCAAUUAUACAUUAUCAAGUUUACGACGCUUUUAUCCCGGUCUCAUUCUGUAAUGUAACAUGUUGAUACAACUUCUGAUGGGUUGGGUUGGGUCUAUAAUUAAUAUUUGAACUCUAUUUCACAUAGGCAAAUUCGGGAAAGAAGAUCCAAACUUUUUUGAAGAAAGAAUUUAUUACAAAGAUGUAUUUGUUUGGUUACUCACUCUGUUUAGUUGAUCAACUUUAAUCUCAAGUGAAAGAAGGUGCCCAUAGUCAUUGCCCGGCCAUUCACAUCAUGAUACCAUUGACUAUCACUAAGGUAAUGAAGGUAACACUU
rnacentral:lncRNA from 1 species